GGAGAAGAAGCAGUGAAAAAUACUUUUGGAAUGUCAAAAACAAAAGUCGCCAUAAAUCAAGUCAAGUAAAUUAAAUUUUCAAAUGGGACGCGUGAAAUUCAAGUCAGCACUUGACCAACAACAACAACAACAAUAAAAAACAACAAUAAUAAUAACAACAACAACAAUAACACGGAUCUUAAGUAUUUGUUGCUGUCGCGGCAUCUACCACGGCCAAAACCCACUGCAUGUGUAAUAACUGUAAAGAAAACUCAAGCACAACACACACACACACCAAUACACACGCCUCCGACUAAUGCGAGUUUAACAAUUUUGCGGUCGUGUGUAAGUCUUGUUAAGCCAAUUACAUGCGCUGCCUCAGACCUAGCGCCCAGUACCCAGCUUCAAGCAGUUGGCCAAGAGAGAGAGAGAGAGAGAGAGGGGGCCAAGUUAAGCCCACUGAAAUGAGGCUGGGCCCUCGAGCGAUGCCAAGAAGUUGUCUUUUGGGAAAGUAAGAACAAACAGCAACAAACAGCGAAAACAAACAGCACAAACCGCAGAUGCAAACUUAGCAACAAUCCCAUAAAAAUUCACUAAUCAGCCUUGCCUGACAACAUGUUACUCUGCAAAAUAUUCAAAUGUUUCAAAAUCCACAAAGCAUGUUAAAAUACAAAUUUGUUUUUGGUUUUUUAAUUUUGUAUACACCUGUUUGUAGAUUUGUAUACACUCUACCCCUAUCUAACUGUCUAGUAUUCUAAUUUCAAAUUUUAAUUAUACUUUGGGUUUUAUAUUAAAGAUUUGGAGUCCGCAAAUGUGCGUUCCUUUUUGUGACUCACAAA